GCUAAGGUCCCAAAGUCAUGGUUAAGUGGGAAACGAUGUGGGAAGGCAUAGACAGCCAGGAUGUUGGCUUAGAAGCAGCCAUCAUUUAAAGAAAGCGUAAUAGCUCACUGGUCGAGUCGGCCUGCGCGGAAGAUGUAACGGGGCUAAACCAUGCACCGAAGCUGCGGCAGCGACGCUUAGGCGUUGUUGGGUAGGGGAGCGUUCUGUAAGCCGUUGAAGGUGGCCUGUGAGGGUUGCUGGAGGUAUCAGAAGUGCGAAUGCUGACAUAAGUAACGAUAAAGCGGGUGAAAAGCCCGCUCGCCGGAAGACCAAGGGUUCCUGUCCAACGUUAAUCGGGGCAGGGUGAGUCGACCCCUAAGGCGAGGCUGAAAAGCGUAGUCGAUGUGAAACAGGUUAAUAUUCCUGUACUUGGUGUUACUGCGAAGGGGGGACGGAGAAGGCUAGGCUAGCCGGGCGACGGUUGUCCCGGUUUAAGCGUGUAGGGGGUGUGACCUGGUAAAUCCGGUUGCAUAUCAACCCUGAGGCGUGAUGACGAUGCACUACGGUGCAGAAGUAGUUGAUGCCCUGCUUCCAGGAAAAGCCUCUAAGCUCCAGGUAACAUUGAAUCGUACCCCAAACCGACACAGGUGGUCAGGUAGAGAAUACCAAGGCGCUUGAGAGAACUCGGGUGAAGGAACUAGGCAAAAUGGUGCCGUAACUUCGGGAGAAGGCACGCUGGCAUGUAGGUGAAGUCCCUUGCGGAUGGAGCUGAAGCCAGUCGAAGAUACCAGCUGGCUGCAACUGUUUAAUAAAAACACAGCACUGUGCAAACACGAAAGUGGACGUAUACGGUGUGACGCCUGCCCGGUGCUGGAAGGUUAAUUGAUGGGGUCAGCCGCAAGGCGAAGCUCUUGAUCGAAGCCCCAGUAAACGGCGGCCGUAACUAUAACGGUCCUAAGGUAGCGAAAUUCCUUGUCGGGUAAGUUCCGACCUGCACGAAUGGCGUAAUGAUGGCCAGGCUGUCUCCACCCGAGACUCAGUGAAAUUGAACUCGCUGUGAAGAUGCAGUGUACCCGCGGCAAGACGGAAAGACCCCGUGAACCUUUACUAUAGCUUGACACUGAACAUUGAGCCUUGAUGUGUAGGAUAGGUGGGAGGCUUUGAAGCGUGGACGCCAGUCUGCGUGGAGCCAUCCUUGAAAUACCACCCUUUAAUGUUUGAUGUUCUAACUCGGCCCCAUAAUCUGGGGUGAGGACAGUGUCUGGUGGGUAGUUUGACUGGGGCGGUCUCCUCCCAAAGAGUAACGGAGGAGCACGAAGGUUAGCUAAUCACGGUCGGACAUCGUGAGGUUAGUGCAAAGGCAUAAGCUAGCUUGACUGCGAGAGUGACGGCUCGAGCAGGUACGAAAGUAGGUCUUAGUGAUCCGGUGGUUCUGAAUGGAAGGGCCAUCGCUCAACGGAUAAAAGGUACUCCGGGGAUAACAGGCUGAUACCGCCCAAGAGUUCAUAUCGACGGCGGUGUUUGGCACCUCGAUGUCGGCUCAUCACAUCCUGGGGCUGAAGUAGGUCCCAAGGGUAUGGCUGUUCGCCAUUUAAAGUGGUACGCGAGCUGGGUUUAGAACGUCGUGAGACAGUUCGGUCCCUAUCUGCCGUGGGCGUUGGAAGAUUGAGAGGGGUUGCUCCUAGUACGAGAGGACCGGAGUGAACGCACCACUGGUGUUCGGGUUGUCAUGCCAAUGGCAUUGCCCGGUAGCUAAGUGCGGAAAAGAUAAGCGCUGAAAGCAUCUAAGCGCGAAACUUGCCUCAAGAUGAGUCUUCCCUGGGCCUUUAAGGUCC
rnacentral:rRNA from 1 species